rnacentral:lncRNA from 1 species
AGACUUGAAGCCACACAGAUUGUGCACGCGCCGGAGCAGCGGCGCACCAGCCCCCGGCUCCGGCGCCACCAUCUUCGCGCUAAGCUCUGGCCAAGGCCGCUGCGGCAUCGCAGUGAUCCGGACCAGCGGCCCCGCCAGCGGCCACGCCCUCCGAAUUCUCACAGCACCCCGAGACCUGCCCCUUGCUCGCCACGCCAGCCUGCGCCUGCUCAGCGAUCCCCGCUCCGGGGAGCCUCUGGACCGCGCACUGGUGCUCUGGUUCCCAGGUGAGGGUCCCCAGGUUCCGAGCCUCCUGUAGGUCCCAUGACUCAGUUUCCCCCUUCCAAGGGUUUGCACUGGCUGUGCUGUCCUCCUGUCACCUGUCUGUCACAUUAGGUCCCCAGAGUUUCACCGGUGAGGACUGCGUGGAGUUCCACGUGCAUGGAGGCCCGGCAGUGGUGAGCGGCGUCCUGCAGGCCUUGGGCAGCGUGCCAGGGCUUCGACCGGCGGAGGCAGGCGAGUUCACCAGACGGGCGUUCGCCAAUGGGAAGCUGAACCUGACCGAAGUGGAGGGGCUGGCGGACCUUAUCCACGCGGAAACAGAGGCGCAGCGGCGGCAGGCCCUCA